UACGUAGGGGGCAAGCGUUGUCCGGAAUCAUUGGGCGUAAAGCGCGUGUAGGCGGCUCGAUAAGUCUGCUGUGAAAGUCCAGGGCUCAACCCUGGGAUGCCGGUUGAAACUGUCGGGCUAGAGUCCGGAAGAGGCGAGUGGAAUUCCCGGUGUAGCGGUGAAAUGCGCAGAUAUCGGGAGGAACACCACUGGCGAAGGCGGCUCGCUGGGACGGUACUGACGCUGAGACGCGAAAGCGUGGGGAGCAAGCAGG
rnacentral:rRNA from 1 species